rnacentral:lncRNA from 10 species
AGCCAAGAGAUAUGCAGGUUGUGCUUAGCAGCCGAUCAGUUUGAGACCUGCGAGGCCGCAUCCCCAGGGUUUUUCAUCUCUUCUGUUUCCAUUUGUCAUUUCCCAGCAGUCCCCAGAUGGUUGUUUCCGUGGGGACACAGCAGCUGCCUCAUUUCCCUUCAGGCCCCAUGGGCUGCUGGUCAACCUCAGGAUCUACUAAAGAUGACGCAAAUGCCGACUGAACAAUCUGAAACCCAAAGGACUCGAGGAGAGACAUGUUCUGCUGAGGAGAGAAAGAACUGUAAGAGAAAGCAACAUUCACCUUUGUGUCACAGAUCAAAUGGUAACCCACUGAAGACCACCCCAUUACCUUGUGCUAGAACGGAACUGCCUCUGCCAUCUCUCUUUAACAGAAGCACAUCCUGAGAACCUGAGAGCUCAAGGUAAGUGGCUGAACACUGUCAACACAUACAGACAUCUAACUGUCUCCUUACUGUACAGCCAUAGCAAGAAACAAACGCAUGCAAUGCUGUCAAGGUAGAAGACACCACUGUUUACUACCCCAGUCCCAAAUAUCUGUGUACGUUAGC